rnacentral:lncRNA from 1 species
AUGCUUAGUUUGACUGUACCCAACAAUCCCACAGGGGAAAUAUGUCCUCUUUCUGAUUGGCCUGACUUGGUGGAUAUUUCAAAAGUGAAGUUGGACUUAGACUUAGUUGGAUUACUCCGACAUUGCGUCACCACUGAAGAGAAGGAUCUUCACCCAGAAGAAACAGAUGAAUUUUGUUUAAUGACAGAAGACAGAGAGGAAAAAAAAGGGUGAGCAUUCAAGGAAGGCAGGUUGAAAUAAAUAAAAUUUUCUUUCCA